AAGAUCAUACUUUUAGGGAUCAUUUCUAUAGUGUGCAUCUUGAAAACGUCAUCAAAUUAUGACGAAACCUCAACUACGAUGACGAGUUGUAGGGAUUCCUUCUGAGCAUGAAGCUUAGUUCGGUACCUUCUGGUGCUAUGAACUAUUGAGGAUUGUUCUUUGAUUUCCAUUAGGAGAUCUUAGAGGAGGGAAUCUCCGGCUGAGUAGU
rnacentral:snoRNA from 1 species